rnacentral:sRNA from 1 species
AAAUUAAUAUUAUAUUAUAAUUUGAUUUUUUGAUUAAAAAAAUAUUUUUAUUAAAAAGUUGAAUCAAUAAUUAAAAGGGAAUUAUCAUGAUGGAUUGUAGAGAAUAUCUCAGAGUUUCUCAAGUAAGAAACUUUCUACUCUCUCUCCUUCAUUUUUAUUAUUUUUAUUUUUUAAUUGUGAGAAACUCUUAUAAAAAACCCCCAAUGAAAAUGGUCUAACUUUCUUUUCCGUUGAAUUUCUCUCAUGUAUUAACAGUAACAUAAGUAUUUAUAUCACAUACACUUGUCAAAUUUGUCUCUUUAGAGAUUUUAAAAAGU